CCUACGGGAGGCAGCAGUGGGGAAUAUUGCACAAUGGGGGGAACCCUGAUACAGCGACGCCGCGUGGGUGAAGGAGUAUUUCGGUAUGUAAAGCCCUAUCAGCAGGGAAGAACAAUGACGGUACCUGACUAAGAAGCACCGGCUAAAUACGUGCCAGCAGCCGCGGUAAUACGUAUGGUGCAAGCGUUAUCCGGAUUUACUGGGUGUAAAGGGAGCGCAGGCGGCGCGUUAAGCCUGGUGUGAAAGUCCGCGGCCCAACCGCGGGACUGCAUUGGGAACUGGCGCGCUGGAGUGCCGGAGGGGUAGGCGGAAUUCCUAGUGUAGCGGUGAAAUGCGUAGAUAUUAGGAGGAACACCAGUGGCGAAGGCGGCCUACUGGACGGUGACUGACGCUGAGGCUCGAAAGCGUGGGGAGCAAACAGGAUUAGAUACCCCAGUAGUC
rnacentral:rRNA from 1 species